rnacentral:lncRNA from 1 species
UGUACCCCCUUAGAACAAUAACCACACAACUUACCACAGGUUACAGGAAGACUGAUGAAGGAAUUCUCUCUAUAUCGCUUAAUUCUCGCUAUCUUGUCUUGCAGCCUAGGGUUAGUAGUUAAGACUGGGUUAGUCUUUUGCACGUUUUCUCCUUGCAGAUAAACAAAUACGAUACUCUGGAAUUAUCUACCGAGUGAAGUGCUCAUA